UGGGGAAUAUUGCACAAUGGAGGAAACUCUGAUGCAGCGAUGCCGCGUGAGGGAAGAAGGUUUUAGGAUUGUAAACCUCUGUCUUCAGGGACGAAAAAAGGACGGUACCUGAGGAGGAAGCUCCGGCUAACUACGUGCCAGCAGCCGCGGUAAUACGUAGGGAGCGAGCGUUGUCCGGAAUUACUGGGUGUAAAGGGAGCGUAGGCGGGAUCGCAAGUCAGAUGUGAAAACUAUGGGCUUAACCCAUAAACUGCAUUUGAAACUGUGGUUCUUGAGUGAAGUAGAGGUAAGCGGAAUUCCUAGUGUAGCGGUGAAAUGCGUAGAUAUUAGGAGGAACAUCAGUGGCGAAGGCGGCUUACUGGGCUUUAACUGACGCUGAGGCUCGAAAGCGUGGGGAGCAAACAGGAUUAGAUACCCUGGUAGUCCACGCCGUAAACGAUGAUUACUAGGUGUGGGGGGACUGACCCCUUCCGUGCCGCAGCAAACGCAAUAAGUAAUCCACCUGGGGAGUACGACCGCAAGGUUGAAACUCAAAGGAAUUGACGGGGGCCCGCACAAGCAGUGGAGUAUGUGGAUUAAUUCGAAGCAACGCGAAGGACCUUACCAGGUCUUGACAUCGUAUGCAUAGCUCAGAGAUGAGUGAAAUCUCUUCGGAGACAUAUAGACAGGUGGUGCAUGGUUGUCGUCAGCUCGUGUCGUGAGAUGUUGGGUUAAGUCCCGCAACGAGCGCAACCCUUACUGUUAGUUGCUACGCAAGAGCACUCUAGCAGGACUGCCGUUGACAAAACGGAGGAAGGCGGGGAUGACGUCAAAUCAUCAUGCCCCUUAUGACCUGGGCCUCACACGUACUACAAUGGCUGUAAACAGAGGGAAGCAAAGCCGCGAGGUAGAGCGAACCCCUAAAAGCAGUCUUAGUUCGGAUUGUAGGCUGCAACCCGCCUACAUGAAGUCGGAAUUGCUAGUAAUCGCGGAUCAGCAUGCCACGGUGAAUACGUUCCC
rnacentral:rRNA from 1 species